rnacentral:rRNA from 1 species
CAGCCUACGGGGGGCAGCAGUGAGGAAUAUUGGUCAAUGGACGAGAGUCUGAACCAGCCAAGUAGCGUGAAGGAAUAAGGCCCUACGGGUCGUAAACCUCUUUUGCCGGGGAGCAAGGGCCGGGACGCGUCCCGGCCCGGAGAGUACCCGGAGAAGAAGCAUCGGCUAACUCCGUGCCAGCAGCCGCGGUAAUACGGAGGAUGCGAGCGUUAUCCGGAUUUAUUGGGUUUAAAGGGUGCGUAGGCGGGCUUUUAAGUCAGCGGUAAAAAUUCGGGGCUCAACCCCGUCCGGCCGUUGAAACUGGG